rnacentral:rRNA from 1 species
AAUGAACGUUGGUGGCGUGGAUUAGGCAUGCAAGUCGUGCGAGAAGGCCCCGCAAGGGGCCGGACAGCGGCGAACGGGGUAGUAAGGCGUCGGUACGUGCCCUGGGGUCCGGGAUAGCGGCGGGAAACUGCCGGUAAUACCGGAUGACCUCUCCGGAGCAAAGGUGUGAUUCCGCCCUUGGAGCGGCCGACGUGAUACCAGCUAGAUGGCGGGGUAACGGCCCACCAUGGCUAAGACGUCUAGGGGGGGUGAGAGCAUGGCCCCCACCACUGGGACUGAGACACUGCCCAGACACCUACGGGUGGCUGCAGUCGAGAAUCUUCGGCAAUGGGCGCAAGCCUGACCGAGCGACGCCACGUGCGGGAUGACGGCCCUCGGGUUGUAAACCGCUGUCGGGGGGGAUGAAGUCACGCGGGGCAAUCCCCGCGUGUUGACAGAGCCCCGGAGGAAGCGCGGGCUAAGUACGUGCCAGCAGCCGCAGUAAAAC